AACACAUGCAAGUCGAACGGAAAGGCCCUUUCGGGGUACUCGAGUGGCGAACGGGUGAGUAACACGUGGGUGAUCUGCCCUGCACUUCGGGAUAAGCUUGGGAAACUGGGUCUAAUACCGGAUAGGACUACGGCCUGCAUGGGUUGUGGUGGAAAGCUUUUGCGGUGUGGGAUGGGCCCGCGGCCUAUCAGCUUGUUGGUGGGGUGAUGGCCUACCAAGGCGACGACGGGUAGCCGGCCUGAGAGGGUGUCCGGCCACACUGGGACUGAGAUACGGCCCAGACUCCUACGGGAGGCAGCAGUGGGGAAUAUUGCACAAUGGGCGAAAGCCUGAUGCAGCGACGCCGCGUGAGGGAUGACGGCCUUCGGGUUGUAAACCUCUUUCAGUAGGGAAGAAGCGAAAGUGACGGUACCUGCAGAAGAAG
rnacentral:rRNA from 1 species